CGGGGUGCACCAGGCGCGAAAACUUUACAAUGCUGGCAACAGCGAUAAGGGGACCUUGAGUGCCAGGAUACAAUCCUGGCUGUCGUGAUGCCUAAAAAGCAUUAUAUAGCAAGGGCCGGGCAAGACCGGUGCCAGCCGCCGCGGUAACACCGGCGGCUCGAGUGGUAACCGCUAUUAUUGGGUCUAAAGGGUCUGUAGCCGGCUUGGUUAGUCUCUUGGGAAAUCCGGCAGCUUAACUGUCGGGCUUUCAGGAGAUACUGCCAGGCUCGAGACCGGGAGAGGUGAGAGGUACUUCAUGGGUAGGGGUGAAAUCUUGUAAUCCUUGAAGGACCACCAGUGGCGAAGGCGUCUCACCAGAACGGAUCUGACGGCAAGGGACGAAAGCUAGGGGCACGAACCGGAUUAGAUACCCGGGUAGUCCUAGCCGUAAACGAUACUCGCUAGGUGUCGGCCACGGUGCGACCGUGGUCGGUGCCGUAGGGAAGCCGUGAAGCGAGCCACCUGGGAAGUACGGCCGCAAGGCUGAAACUUAAAGGAAUUGGCGGGGGAGCAC
rnacentral:rRNA from 1 species